GGGGCUGUAGCUCAGCCGGGAGAGCGCUUGCAUGGCAUGCAAGAGGUCGUCGGUUCGAUCCCGUCCAGCUCCA
rnacentral:tRNA from 2 species